rnacentral:misc_RNA from 1 species
UGGCUCUGGCAUCGAUGAAGAACGCAGCGAAAUGCGAUAAGUAAUGCGAAUUGCAGAUUUCAGUGAGUCAUCGAAUCUUUGAACGCACAUUGCGCCCGCCAGUAUUCUGGCGGGCAUGCCUGUUCGAGCGUCAUUAUCAACCCUCAAGCUCUGCUUGGUGUUGGGGAUCGGCAGCCCUGGGGCGCCCCCUCCGCGGGGGCGACACUCCCCUCCCCGCCGUCCCCCAAAUCCAGUGGCGGUCACGCUGCAGCCUCCCAUGCGUAGUAGCACACCUCGCAGGCGGAGAGCGGCGCGGCCACGCCGUAAAACACCCCACUACGAAAACGUAUGGUUGACCUCGAAUCAGGUAGGACUACCCGCUGA